ACAUUUUGAGAAAAGCUUGAACAGCAAGACAGUUAGCAUUGUCUGGCAAUAAUAUUUGUUCUACUUCGAAUGGUCUAUAUAAUUGUAUCAAUUGAGGCCAUGGUUCCUGAGCUGUAAAUAGAGGACAAAUUGCAGUACAUACGAAAGUAGCCAUCAAAGAAUUAUCCUAAAAUUAAAAGUAUACUUGGUUCUCAUUAAAUAUGAAUUAAAACUUAAUAUUUUGUUUUUAACUGGAAUAGUAUAGACCUUAAGAAUAUUUGUGUAUUAAUAAAUAAUGAUCCCAAUGUUCGUGUUUGUAACAAUUCUUUGUUACUUUCUAUCGAUAUUUUUUUAAAUACGUCAUACACAAAUAAAUAGUAUAUUGUAAAUUAUAUAUAUGCAAAGAUUAUAUAGAUAAAUCUUUUCUAAAUAAUGUAUAUUUUUAAAAUUUUUGCGUGUUUUGUCAUAAAAAAAAUUCAAAUUUAAAAACCGGAAUAUACUACGUUAGUCAAAUAUUUGUGUGUUUUUUUAAUUGAAGUCGAUGACGUAGACAUCAAUAAUUUGUACCACGAACAAUAAGUAUGUUAUCUCAUCAACUUGUAUGAUUAAGAGUAAAACGAUUCAAAGAAACAAUUAUAGACAGAAAUAAUGAUUGAUACAAUAAUCCAAGUGUAGUUCUACGACUACCUGGAGGACAGUUUCGUGUAGGUGCUUUAAUUAUUAUAAAAGGUGCAAUAUCGAUUGAUAUGCAUUCCAGUUGAAAAUUAGUUUCAUUGACACCUAUUACACUGGGUGCACAAGGAC